rnacentral:rRNA from 1 species
CCCUUAGAUGUUCUGGGCCGCACGCGUGCUACACUGAGUGGAUCAGCGGGUCAGGUUGCGCGAAAGUGUUUCCUAAUCUUUAAAUCCGCUCGUGAUGGGGAUUGACGGUUGCAAUUUUCCGUCAGGAACGAGGAAUACCUUGUAAGCGCGGGUCAUCAUCCCGCGCUGAAUACGUCCCUGCCCUUUGUACACACCGCCCGUCGCUCCUACCGAUUGAGUGGUCCGGUGAGGCUUUGGGAUCUGAGCGGAAAGAGCGUUUCGCUGUUUCUGCCCGGAAAACUCAGUCGAACCUUAUCAUUUAGAGGAAGGAGAAGUCGUAACA